rnacentral:rRNA from 1 species
GAUGAACGCUAGCGGCGGGCCUAAUACAUGCAAGUCGAACGAGAUUAAGAGGCUUGCUUCCUAUGAACGUGGCCCACGGGUGCGUGACGCGUAUGUAACUUACCUUAAUCAGGGGGAUAGAUAGAAGAAAUUAGGAUUAAGAACGCAUAAAAACACAGGAUAGCAUUAUCCAAUGUUCAAAUAUUUAUAGGUUUCAGAUGGGCAUGCGUGUCAUUAGCUAGUUGGCGGGGUAACGGCACGCCAAGGCGACGAUGACUAGGGGAUCUGAGAGGAUGACCCCCCACACUGGAACUGAGACACGGACCAGAAUCCGAGGCAGGAGAGCAGUAACGAACAUUAUGCAAUGAAGCCAGCUCUGGCCCAGCCACGCCGCUGGCAGGAAGACACGCCUCUGAAUCGUAAGCUGCUUUGAAACAAGAAAAAACCUUGCUACGUGGAAGAAGCUGAAGGUACCGAAGGAAUAAGGAUCGGCUAACUCCGUG